rnacentral:rRNA from 1 species
UACAUGGGGUGCAAACGUUGCUCGGAAUCAUUGGGCGUAAAGCGCGCGUAGGCGGUCGCUUAAGUCGGAUGUGAAAUCCCUCGGCUUAACUGAGGAAGUGCAUCCGAGACUGAGUGGCUAGAGUAUGAAAGAGGGUCGCGGAAUUCCCGGUGUAGAGGUGAAAUUCGUAGAUAUCGGGAGGAACACCGGCGGCGAAGGCGGCGACCUGGUUCAAGACUGACGCUGAGGCGCGAAAGCGUGGGGAG